rnacentral:rRNA from 1 species
GACGAACGCUGGCGGCGUGCUUAACACAUGCAAGUCGAACGAUGAAACCUAGCUUGCUAGGUCGAUUAGUGGCGAACGGGUGAGUAACACGUGACUAACCUGCCCCUUUCUCUGGGAUAACGCUCCGAAAGGAGUGCUAAUACCGGAUACUCACAUCGAGGCACAUGCCUUGAUGUGGAAAGUUUUUCGGAAAGGGAUGGAGUCGCGGCCUAUCAGCUUGUUGGUGAGGUAACGGCUCACCAAGGCGACGACGGGUAGCCGGCCUGAGAGGGCGACCGGCCACACUGGGACUGAGACACGGCCCAGACUCCUACGGGAGGCAGCAGUGGGGAAUAUUGCACAAUGGGCGCAAGCCUGAUGCAGCGACGCCGCGUGAGGGAUGAAGGUCUUCGGAUUGUAAACCUCUUUCAGUAGGGACGAAGCGAAAGUGACGGUACCUAAAGAAGAAGCACCGGCUAACUACGUGCCAGCCGCCGCGGUAA